UACGAAGGGGGGCUAGCGUUGCUCGGAAUCACUGGGCGUAAAGGGUGCGUAGGCGGGUUUUUAAGUCAGGGGUGAAAUCCUGGAGCUCAACUCCAGAACUGCCUUUGAUACUGAAGAUCUUGAGUCCGGGAGAGGUGAGUGGAACUGCGAGUGUAGAGGUGAAAUUCGUAGAUAUUCGCAAGAACACCAGUGGCGAAGGCGGCUCACUGGCCCGGUACUGACGCUGAGGUGCGAAAGCGUGGGGAGCAAACAGGG
rnacentral:rRNA from 1 species